rnacentral:rRNA from 1 species
CUGGCGCGUGCCUAAUACAUGCAAGUCGAACGGUCUUUCUAUGGAAGCUUGCUUCCACUGAGAAGAUAGUGGCGAACGGGUGAGUAACACGUGGGUAACCUGCCCAUAAGAGGGGGAUAACAUCCGGAAACGGGUGCUAAUACCGCAUAGUUUUCUUGAUUGCAUGAUUGAGAAAGGAAAGACGGCCUUUGUGCUGUCGCUUAUGGAUGGACCCGCGGCGUAUUAGUUAGUUGGUGAGGUAACGGCUCACCAAGACGAUGAUACGUAGCCGACCUGAGAGGGUGAUCGGCCACAUUGGGACUGAGACACGGCCCAAACUCCUACGGGAGGCAGCAGUAGGGAAUCUUCCGCAAUGGACGAAAGUCUGACGGAGCAACGCCGCGUGAGUGAAGAAAAGGGUUUUCGGAUCGUAAAACUCUGUUGUCAGAGAAGAACAAGUUGGAGAGUAACUGCUCCAGCCUUGACGGUAUCUGACCAGAAAGCCACGGCUAACUACGUGCCAGCAGCCGC